UACGUAGGCAGCAAGCGUUGUUCGGAAUUACUGGGCGUAAAGAGUGUGUAGGCGGUGCUCUAAGUUCGGUGUGAAAUCUCCCGGCUCAACUGGGAGGGUGCGCCGGAAACUGGGGUGCUGGAGCGCGGGAGAGGAAAGCGGAAUUCCUGGUGUAGCGGUGAAAUGCGUAGAUAUCAGGAGGAACACCGGCGGCGAAAGCGGCUCUCUGGCCUGUUACUGACGCUGAGGCGCGAAAGCUAGGGGAGCAAACGGG
rnacentral:rRNA from 1 species